UUUCAUGAGUUUUUUUUUUUUUUUUUUUUUUUUUUUUUUUUUUUUUUUUUUUUUUUUUUUUUUUUUUUUUUUUUUUUUUUUUUUUUUUUUUUUUUUUUUUUUUUUUUUUUUUUUUUUUUUUUUUUUUUUUUUUAUUUUUUUUUUUUUUUUUUUUUUUUUUUAUUUUUUUUUUUUUUUUUUUUUUUUUUUUUUAUAAAAUUUAUUAAUUAAUUUAUAGUAGUUAUAUUCUAUUCGUUAUUUUUUUUAUCUGGUUAUUCAGGAAUAAAUUUAAUUUUGGUUAUUUUGUUUUUUUUAUUUUUAUAUUUUUUAUUUACUUAUUUCAUAAGGGAUAAUCUUUAUGUUUUUUUAUAAUUUUUUUUUAUUAAUUUUUAUUAUUUUUAGUAUUUUGUUUUUAGUUUUUAAUAAAUUAGAUUUAUUUUUUAUUAUUUAUUUUUAUUUAUUUUUUUUACUGAUAUUUAUUUAAUUAUUAUUUUUUUAUUUUUGUUAAUGAUUUAAUUAGUAUAAUUUUUUUUUUUUGAUUAUUGAACUCGACAAAUAUAAUUCUCAACUGUUUAUCAAAAACAUUUCUUUUAGUUUUAUUAUUAAAGGUAAUUUCUGCUCUAUGAAUAUUUUUAAAUGGCCGCGGUAUAUUGACCGUGCAAAGGUAGCGUAAUAAUUAUUUCCUUAAUUAGGAACUUGUAUGAAUGAAUAUAUGAGGGAUUUUUUUUAUUAUUUAAAAUUUUUAUAAUUUAACUUUUGAGUUAAAAGGCUUAAUUGAUUUAUUGGGACGAUAAGACCCUAUAGAACUUUAAAUUUAAGUUAUUUGUUUUUUUAUUGUUUAUUAUGCUUUAUUUAUUUUUUUAGUUGGGGUGAUUAUUAAAUUUAAUCUUUAGUUUUUUCUUUCAUAAAAUUUAUGUUUUUUUUGAUCUUUUAUGUUUUGAUUUUAAGAAAUAGUUACCUUAGGGAUAACAGCGUAAUUUUAGUGGGGAGUUCUUAUUUAUACUAAAGUUUUCGACCUCGAUGUUGAAUUAAGAUAAAGCUGUGGGGUAGGUUUUUCAGUUUUAAGUCUGUUCGACUUUUUAAUUCUUACAUGAUUUGAGUUCAAACCGGCGUGAGCCAGGUUGGUUUCUAUCUAAUAAUUUUUUAAAUUUAAUAGUACGAAAGGACCUUAAGUUUUUAGUUUUUAUUAUUUAUACUGUUUACUAUUAAUUUACUU
rnacentral:rRNA from 1 species